ensembl:lncRNA
GCCCCGACGCGGUGCGUCCGGAGCGCAGCGGUGCGGCCGCGCGGUGCCCGAGCAGCGCCGAGCAAACAAAGCUCCCCCUGCCGAGAGCGGCCCUUUAACGCCCCGGCGCAUCAAGUGGCCAGUUAGAGGCCGGGCUCUCAAGAGGUUAAGACACACAUCUCCAACUUUCAGAAGAGAAGCAGCAAUGUUGUGGGUGACGACAUCAACUUGUGCCUCUCCAAAGCAACGUGGAGGCAUCAGCAGUGCCCCCAGAGCCCCCCAGUCAGCUGUCUUUUAAGUAGAGAGCUCUGUCUUCUUCCCUUCUUCAUUGCACUUCCUCCUCCCCAGCAGGCAGCUGCACACAGGCAGCUGCACACAGGAACUCACAUGAGCUGCAGCGGCCACUCGCACUCACGGUAUGGUGUGGAAGAAAGAGCACACAUGUCAGAGCAAUGUUAAGGAGUUGCUCUAAGUAUCCACAGCAACCCUAUUAAUAUUUAAGCUUUCCAGUGGCACACAUCUACUCCUUCUUUGAAUUGUAAAUCGAGUUAGUUAAUCCUUCAUUUACCACUUGUUUGCAUUUCUGUGUUUCGAUAUGCAAAGGUUCGUUUUUGUCCUCGUUGACAGCACAGUGUGUGCAGCACAGCAUGCCUCAAACCAGCAGGGCCUCAGUGCUGGGCUUAGGCUUUCCUCUUCCUGGCCUUAGUCAGUGGAAUUAAAUGUUGGAGGAUGGAUGCUCUCAAGUUCUGGAAACCUGAACUGUGCCAUCAAGCUGGGGUGUGCGUGGUCCUGUGUGGUGGGCAGCCUCUGCUCAGCAUCACCAGUCCUGCAUCCCCAUCCCACAUCCCUAUCCCCAUCCCGCAUCCCUGUCCUCAUCCUGCAUCCCUGUCCCCAUCUCAUGUUCCUGUCCCGUAUUCUUGUCCCCACCCCACAUCCCUGUCCUCAUCCCUGUACCCCAUCCCAUGCCCUGUCCCAAUCCCACAUGCCUAUCCUCAUCCCCAUCCUGCAUCCCUGUCCCAAUCCCUGUCACCAUCUCCGUCCCCAUCCUCAUCCCCAUCCCCAUCCCUGUCAGCCUGGCCUUGGGCAGCACUGUGACCACACGCUGUCACAGAACCACACACAAGCAUUGCCAGUGAGAGGAUCAAGGCUAAAAACCGGGCGUGUGCGCAAUAAACUACCAAAAUGAGUGAACUUCUGCUCCCGCUGUACUUUUGGCCAUCUGCUAAGAAACAUCGUUAUAAUUCUGUGCCCUCUAGUGGUGCUUAAAAUCAUCUAUUAAUUUAACUAAUAGUGCGGAAAGCAGCCUGCGAGCACAAAUGGUUUGGGGCAGUACUGAAAUGCGGGCAUGCGUGCCAGCGCAGCGAGAAGAAAACACAUUAAUUAACGUGCUGAAUUAAUAUUUUAUUUCCACUAUGUGUAUUUUCCCAUUUAUUCUUUUAUUAAAUAUGUAUUACGGAGAUUGAUGGCAGUUGAUCUAAUCCCUGCUUGUUAACGUGUCACAUAGCUGGAGCAUGAUGUGCUGGUGGGACUGAACAGACCCAAAUGCAGCUGCUGGCCCUGCACCAGGCAGAAGGGCGGUGCUCUGUGUAGGAGCUCACCCUCCUCUAAGUGCACAUUGCAAAAUAAGGUCCUGAAUUUAUA